UAUUUUUGUACCAUUAGUAGGCCUAGUAUUUCUGGCAAUUGCAAUGGCUUCUUUAUUUCUUCAUGUUCAAAACAAUAAGAUUGUUUAGAUUCAACGGGAUCCGGAUCCAAUCUCAUCCAUUUUCGUUUUCAAAACUUGCACUUAUAUUGUAUCAUAACACGGAUAUCUAGUUAGUGAAAUAGAGUCUAACGUGUGAUUUCCGCCGAACAUAAAGGAAAAGUUCGGAAGACACACG